AAACGACUCUCGGCAACGGAUAUCUCGGCUCACGCAUCGAUGAAGAACGUAGCAAAAUGCGAUACUUGGUGUGAAUUGCAGAAUCCCGUGAACCAUCGAGUUUUUGAACGCAAGUUGCGCCCGAAGCCUUUUGGCCAAGGGCACGUCUGCCUGGGCGUCACAC
rnacentral:rRNA from 1 species